GGAUAUAGCAUUCUUGUUGGGGUAUUUAUAGCUUUGGUUACAGCUCUGGAUAUAGCAUUCUUAUUGGGGUAAUUAUGGCUUUGGUUAUAGCAUUCUUGUUGGGGUAUUUAUGGCUUUGGUUAUAACUCUGGAUAUAGUAUUCUUGUUGGGGGUAAUUAUGGCUUUGGAUGUAACUAUGGAGUUGAGUAGUUAUAGAGCUGGAGGUAGUUAUCUGAGAAAGAUGUGGAGCUGGGGGUAGUUAGGGCUGUGAGCAAAGUUAUGAAGCUGGAAGUUGUUAGGGCUGCGGGGUAGUUAUGGAACGGGGUGGU